rnacentral:rRNA from 1 species
GAUGAACGCUGGCGGCGUGCCUAAUACAUGCAAGUCGAGCGAACAGACGAGGAGCUUGCUCCUCUGACGUUAGCGGCGGACGGGUGAGUAACACGUGGAUAACCUACCUAUAAGACUGGGAUAACUUCGGGAAACCGGAGCUAAUACCGGAUAAUAUAUUGAACCGCAUGGUUCAAUAGUGAAAGACGGUUUUGCUGUCACUUAUAGAUGGAUCCGCGCCGCAUUAGCUAGUUGGUAAGGUAACGGCUUACCAAGGCAACGAUGCGUAGCCGAACUGAGAGGGUGAUCGGCCACACUGGAACUGAGACACGGUCCAGACUCCUACGGGAGGCAGCAGUAGGGAAUCUUCCGCAAUGGGCGCAAGCCUGACGGAGCAACGCCGCGUGCGUGAUGAAGGUCUUCGGAUUGUAAAACUCUGUUAUUAGGGAAGAACAAAUGUGUAAGUAACUAUGCACGUCUUGACGGUACCUAAUCAGAAAGCAACGGCUAACUACGUG